GGAAAUAGGCUACCUUGCAUAAUGACUUAGCCACUCCCAGUCUCUAUUUAAGCCUAAAUUAAUAGUAUCCAAUUUGCAAAUGAAUUCCAAUUCAGCAGUUUCUCGCUGGAGUCUGGAUUUGAAGUUUUUUUUGUUUUAAGAUAGCGACCUUCAUGUCUGUGAUUGCGUGACCAGAGAGAUUGAAGUGUUCUCCGACUGGUUUAUGAAUGUUAUAAUUCUUGACAUCUGAUUUGUGUCCAUUUAUUCUUUUACGUAGAGACUGUCCAGUUUGACCAAUGUACAUGGCAGAGGGGCAUUGCUGGCACAUGAGUUUGCAGACAGCCUAGAGGGAUGGCUCCAAUAAGUGUGAACUGCCCCAUUUAUUUGUACUUUGCAAUAUGCUGCUGCCCCAAAGAGCGAGGGGCCCAGGCAGGGAUGGGAGGCAGAGGGGUGUGCCUAGGGCCCUGGAUUGCAUUAAUUAACCCUGAAAACAGACCACAUGGGCACCACCUGAGCCCAGUGGGCAGCUCCAGUGAGCAGGGCCUCAGUUUUAAAUGUCACUGGGGCCCAAUUCCCCUCUUGGGCCAGUUUAAUGCUGUUGGUUUUAAAUCCAGGUGACCGUGCUGAAUGACUGGAGCAUUGUGCCCUGUCUCCCAGAGCACAGCCCCGCUGCCCCUAAAUGCACUGUGGUGGGGGCUGGGGCAGCUGGAACGUGGAGGGCACGGCACCACCUGCUGAGCCGCCAUCACCUUUUCCUGCUGCAGCCGCCGGGUGGUCCGUGGCGGUCUCCCAGUUCAACGGCAGAUUUAUUGCUAACACCGAAGACCAGCUCGACGUGUUACGAGAAAGCAAAUAUUUUUCCUGUUCUCUGGACCAGCUCUGAUGAAGCUAGAGCAAAGAGGUGUAAAUUACACUUCCUUACAACCAGCCCUGGCCCCUAGAGUAGCAGAAGGUUGGAGAUUUGAGAACUGCCAUAAUUAAGGGGCCUGAUCAAUGGGAGUCUUUCCAUUGAUGUCCUGAGGUUUGGAUCAGGCUGUAACUGCAGCUGGUACCAUAGGAAGUGAAAAUGUGCUGAACAAUUGAGAGUCCCUGCCCCAGAGAAUUUACAGGACAAACCACAGCUGCUGGGCUCGGGUUACCUUCUGAGCAUCACUGCUGGAUUUUCUGUAUGGAAACAAGACUAAGGCCUGCCCUCGCCCCCACUCCCCAUUGUAACCAUUAGCCAGACUCCUGCUGACGUCAGUGGAUGAGAGUUGGGCUCCAUGUCCUUUUCCUCCAGCUCGCUGUAGCCCCCUGGAGGACGGGGAAAUGGGGC